rnacentral:rRNA from 1 species
GUACACAAAAAUGCACAUAUUGUGAGCUCGAUGAGUAGGGCGGGACACGUGGUAUCCUGUCUGAAUAUGGGGGGACCAUCCUCCAAGGCUAAAUACUCCUGACUGACCGAUAGUGAACCAGUACCGUGAGGGAAAGGCGAAAAGAACCCCGGCGAGGGGAGUGAAAAAGAACCUGAAACCGUGUACGUACAAGCAGUGGGAGCCUCUUAAUGGGGUGACUGCGUACCUUUUGUAUAAUGGGUCAGCGACUUAUAUUCUGUAGCAAGGUUAACCGAAUAGGGGAGCCGAAGGGAAACCGAGUCUUAACUGGGCGUUAAGUUGCAGGGUAUAGACCCGAAACCCGGUGAUCUAGCCAUGGGCAGGUUGAAGGUUGGGUAACACUAACUGGAGGACCGAACCGACUAAUGUUGAAAAAUUAGCGGAUGACUUGUGGCUGGGGGUGAAAGGCCAAUCAAACCGGGAGAUAGCUGGUUCUCCCCGAAAGCUAUUUAGGUAGCGCCUCGUGAAUUCAUCUCCGGGGGUAGAGCACUGUUUCGGCAAGGGGGUCAUCCCGACUUACCAACCCGAUGCAAACUGCGAAUACCGGAGAAUGUUAUCACGGGAGACACACGGCGGGUGCUAACGUCCGUCGUGAAGAGGGAAACAACCCAGACCGCCAGCUAAGGUCCCAAAGUCAUGGUUAAGUGGGAAACGAUGUGGGAAGGCCCAGACAGCCAGGAUGUUGGCUUAGAAGCAGCCAUCAUUUAAAGAAAGCGUAAUAGCUCACUGGUCGAGUCGGCCUGCGCGGAAGAUGUAACGGGGCUAAACCAUGCACCGAAGCUGCGGCAGCGACACUAUGUGUUGUUGGGUAGGGGAGCGUUCUGUAAGCCUGUGAAGGUGGCCUGUGAGGGUUGCUGGAGGUAUCAGAAGUGCGAAUGCUGACAUAAGUAACGAUAAAGCGGGUGAAAAGCCCGCUCGCCGGAAGACCAAGGGUUCCUGUCCAACGUUAAUCGGGGCAGGGUGAGUCGACCCCUAAGGCGAGGCCGAAAGGCGUAGUCGAUGGGAAACAGGUUAAUAUUCCUGUACUUGGUGUUACUGCGAAGGGGGGACGGAGAAGGCUAUGUUGGCCGGGCGACGGUUGUCCCGGUUUAAGCGUGUAGGCUGGUUUUCCAGGCAAAUCCGGAAAACCAAGGCUGAGGCGUGAUGAC